rnacentral:rRNA from 1 species
UACGGGGGGGGCAAGCGUUGUUCGGAAUUACUGGGCGUAAAGGGCUCGUAGGUGGCCAACUAAGUCGGACGUGAAAUCCCUCGGCUUAACCGGGGAACUGCGUCCGAUACUGGUUGGCUUGAGUUUGGGAGAGGGAUGCGGAAUUCCAGGUGUAGCGGUGAAAUGCGUAGAUAUUGGGAGGAACACCAGUGGCGAAGGCGGCUACCUGGACCGGAACUGACGCUGAUGCGCGAAAGCGUGGGGAGCAAACAGG